AUUGAACGCUGGCGGAAUGCUUUACACAUGCAAGUCGAGCGGCAGCGCGGGGCAACCUGGCGGCGAGCGGCGAACGGGUGAGUAAUGCAUCGGAACAUGUCCAUGUCGUGGGGGAUAGCCCGGCGAAAGCCGGAUUAAUACCGCAUACGCCCGAGAGGGGAAAGUGGGGGACUCGCAAGGGCCUCACGCGAUUGGGUUGGCCGAUGUCCGAUUAGCUAGUUGGCGGGGAAGAGCCCACCAAGGCGAUGAUCGGUAGCUGGUCUGAGAGGAUGAUCAGCCACACUGGGACUGAGACACGGCCCAGACUCCUACGGGAGGCAGCAGUGGGGAAUUUUGGACAAUGGGGCAACCCUGAUCCAGCCAUUCCGCGUGAGUGAAGAAGGCCU
rnacentral:rRNA from 1 species